CCUACGGGUGGCAGCAGUGAGGAAUAUUGGUCAAUGGACGAGAGUCUGAACCAGCCAAGUAGCGUGAAGGAUGACUGCCCUAUGGGUUGUAAACUUCUUUUAUAUGAGAAUAAAACGUUCCACGUGUGGGAUUUUGUAUGUACCAUAUGAAUAAGCAUCGGCUAACUCCGUGCCAGCAGCCGCGGUAAUACGGAGGAUCCGAGCGUUAUCCGGAUUUAUUGGGUUUAAAGGGAGCGUAGGUGGAUUGUUAAGUCAGUUGUGAAAGUUUGCGGCUCAACCGUAAAAUUGCAGUUGAAACUGGCAGUCUUGAGUACAGUAGAGGUGGGCGGAAUUCGUGGUGUAGCGGUGAAAUGCUUAGAUAUCACGAAGAACUCCGAUUGCGAAGGCAGUUCACUGGACUGUAACUGACACUGAGGCUCGAAAGUGUGGGUAUCAAACAGGAUUAGAUACCCCUGUAGUC
rnacentral:rRNA from 1 species